rfam:Oryza glumipatula chromosome 12, whole genome shotgun sequence.
AGCGGUAAGGCAGGGGACUGCAAAUCCUUUAUCCCCAGUUCAAAUCUGGGUGCCGCCU